rnacentral:rRNA from 1 species
AGAGUUUGAUCAUGGCUCAGGACGAACGCUGGCGGCGUGCCUAACACAUGCAAGUCGAGGGGCAGCACGGGGUAGCAAUACUCUGGUGGCGACCGGCGCACGGGUGAGUAACACGUAUGCAACCUACCCUGUACAGGGGGAUAACCCGGAGAAAUUCGGACUAAUAUCCCAUAAAGAUAUCAGAAGGCAUCUUUUGAUAUUUAAAGCUCAGGCGGUACGGGAUGGGCAUGCGGAACAUUAGCUAGUUGGCAGGGUAACGGCCUACCAAGGCUACGAUGUUUAGGGGACCUGAGAGGGUGAUCCCCCACACUGGUACUGAGACACGGACCAGACUCCUACGGGAGGCAGCAGUGAGGAAUAUUGGUCAAUGGGCGCAAGCCUGAACCAGCCAUCCCGCGUGCAGGAAGACGGCCCUAUGGGUUGUAAACUGCUUUUCCAGGGGGAGAAUUUUUCCGUCGUGACGGGAAUUGACGGUACCCUGGGAAUAAGCAUCGGCUAACUCCGUGCCAGCAGCCGCGGUAAUACGGAGGAUGCGAGCGUUAUCCGGAUUUAUUGGGUUUAAAGGGUGCGUAGGCGGAUCGAUAAGUCAGUGGUGAAAACCUGCAGCUUAACUGUAGACUUGCCGUUGAUACUGUUGGUCUUGAGUAUGGUCAAGGUAGGCGGAAUGUGUAAUGUAGCGGUGAAAUGCUUAGAUAUUACACAGAACACCGAUUGCGAAGGCAGCUUACUGGACCAUUACUGACGCUGAUGCACGAAAGCGUGGGGAUCGAACAGGAUUAGAUACCCUGGUAGUCCACGCCGUAAACGAUGAUCACUCGCUGUUAGCGAUACACAGUUAGCGGCUAAGCAAAAGCAUUAAGUGAUCCACCUGGGGAGUACGGCCGCAAGGCUGAAACUCAAAGGAAUUGACGGGGGCCCGCACAAGCGGAGGAACAUGUGGUUUAAUUCGAUGAUACGCNNGGAACCUUACCUGGGCUUAAAUGUAGAGUGCAUUCUGCCGAAAGGCGGAUUUUCUUCGGGACUCUUUGCAAGGUGCUGCAUGGUUGUCGUCAGCUCGUGCCGUGAGGUGUCGGGUUAAGUCCCAUAACGAGCGCAACCCUUAUCGUUAGUUGCCAGCGGGUAAAGCCGGGAACUCUACGAAACUGCCGGUGUAAACCGAGAGGAAGGUGGGGAUGACGUCAAAUCAGCACGGCCCUUNUGUCCAGGGCUACACACGUGUUANAAUGGCCGGUACAGAGGGGAGCUAUGCUGUGAGGCAAUGCGAAUCUCAAAAGCCGGUCUCAGUUCGGAUCGGAGUCUGCAACUCGACUCCGUGANNCUGGAUUCGCUAGUAAUCGCGCAUCAGCCAUGGCGCGGUGAAUACGUUCCCGGGCCUUGUACACACCGCCCGUCAAGCCAUGGAAGUUGGGGGUACCUGAAGUCCGUAACCGCAAGGAGCGGCCUAGGGUAAAACCAGUGACUGGGGCUAAGUCGUAACAAGGUAGCCGUACCGGAAGGUGUGGGUGGAUCACCUCCUU